GAGAGAAAAAAAAAAAUCUCACAGCUCUGGAUCCGUCGCCGCCACCGCUCCUCCGAUCGAUACUCGCCGGCGUCGCUCCACCCAUCCUCGUUGUCGGGCGCUGCACCACCCUUCCUCGUCGCCGGGCGCCGCACCACCCGUCCCCGCCGUCGGGGCCCGCACCAUCCUCGUCGCCGGGGGCUACACCAGCCAUCCUCGUCAUUGGGCGCCGCUCCACCCAUCCUCAUCGCCGGAGGCCGCCACUGCCGUAGCUCCAUGCCCUAGUGGUGAUCUGCUAGUUUUCUUGCUGAUCCAUGGCAAGUAAGGAAAGAUGCAUGAACCAAAAUUGCAGGAAAGAUGGAUGAAUCAAGAGCGAGCCUAAGGAAAGACAAAUAUUCUUACGAAGCUGAUCAUGAGGACCUUGGUGUUAGCAAAGAAGAAACUAUAAGACUCGAGGAGUUAAAUAGGAAAUGCAAAGAAGUUGGUCUCCCACCGACAAAGUUAAACUCAGCAUACUUUCAUGGCACAUUCCCAUCCACAUCCAAACAAAAGGAAAAGGACAUGAUUGCAAGUUCUAAAUAUGUGCACUUUUGAAUUUUUGCUCAAAAUUGUUUUAAUGUUGCAUGAUUAUUUUAUACCACACACCUGCAAUCUGUCUUGUGAUGCAGAUGGAUACAGAAAUGAAUAUGAGGGUAGAGUACAUGAACAAUUGAACCUUGAAAUGUGGUACGGAAGUUGGUCCAACAUCUCCUUGAAGCGGAAGAAUGGUCGCACUAGCUCAUGCAUCCUGGUGGUCAAGCUCUACAUUCUAAGGUAUCAGCCAUUACUACGCACAUCCCAUCUAAUCAAGGAGAGAAAUCUGCAAACCAAAACUAGGCUCUCAAGAACAAUAGUGUUGACAGUGCAUUGCAAAGUAUGGUUGGACAGAGACUUAAGAGAAAUAUUUCUGAUUUAACCUCCAAGGAGAAUGUAGGAGAUGAAGAUACAUAUUUUAAGGCAAAGAAUCUUGGAAAAGUCAACUCUACUAUGCUAACAAGUUCACCAAUAGCCAGGUGUUAAGAAGUUCUCGGUUCUAGUUCAAAAGGCCAUUCUCAAGCCAAUCUCCUUUGAGAUGCGAGCAUGCAAGCCAUAUAAGUUACAAGGUUUCAGUGGGUCAGUGUGGUUGAAUGUUUAGUUGUUCACAUAAGAACCAUUUAUUUUCUUGACGUGUUAGACAAACAUGCUAUUGAUAUUGUUUACCAACCAUUUAAUGUUUGUUUGAUCUUAAAAUUAGACUUGAACUGAGCUAAAAAUU